rnacentral:rRNA from 1 species
AAAAUUCGAUUCCCUUAGUAGCGGCGAGCGAAAUGGGAAGAGCCCAAACCAACAAGCUUGCUUGUUGGGGUUGUAGGACACUCUAUACGGAGUUACAAAGGACGACAUUAGACGAAUCAUCUGGAAAGAUGAAUCAAAGAAGGUAAUAAUCCUGUAGUCGAAAAUGUUGUCUCUCUUGAGUGGAUCCUGAGUACGACGGAGCACGUGAAAUUCCGUCGGAAUCUGGGAGGACCAUCUCCUAAGGCUAAAUACUCUCUAGUGACCGAUAGUGAACCAGUACCGUGAGGGAAAGGUGAAAAGCACCCCGGAAGGGGAGUGAAAUAGAACCUGAAACCGUGUGCUUACAAGUAGUCAGAGCCCGUUAAUGGGUGAUGGCGUGCCUUUUGUAGAAUGAACCGGCGAGUUACGAUUUGAUGCAAGGUUAAGCAGUAAAUGUGGAGCCGUAGCGAAAGCGAGUCUGAAUAGGGCGUUUAGUAUUUGGUCGUAGACCCGAAACCAGGUGAUCUACCCUUGGUCAGGUUGAAGUUCAGGUAACACUGAAUGGAGGACCGAACCGACUUACGUUGAAAAGUGAGCGGAUGAACUGAGGGUAGCGGAGAAAUUCCAAUCGAACCUGGAGAUAGCUGGUUCUCUCCGAAAUAGCUUUAGGGCUAGCCUCAAGUGAUGAUUAUUGGAGGUAGAGCACUGUUUGGACGAGGGGCCCCUCUCGGGUUACCGAAUUCAGACAAACUCCGAAUGCCAAUUAAUUUAACUUGGGAGUCAGAACAUGGGUGAUAAGGUCCGUGUUCGAAAGGGAAACAGCCCAGACCACCAGCUAAGGUCCCAAAAUAUAUGUUAAGUGGAAAAGGAUGUGGCGUUGCCCAGACAACUAGGAUGUUGGCUUAGAAGCAGCCAUCAUUUAAAGAGUGCGUAAUAGCUCACUAGUCGAGUGACACUGCGCCGAAAAUGUACCGGGGCUAAACAUAUUACCGAAGCUGUGGAUUGUCCUUUGGACAAUGGUAGGAGAGCGUUCUAAGGGCGUUGAAGCAUGAUCGUAAGGACAUGUGGAGCGCUUAGAAGUGAGAAUGCCGGUGUGAGUAGCGAAAGACGGGUGAGAAUCCCGUCCACCGAUUGACUAAGGUUUCCAGAGGAAGGCUCGUCCGCUCUGGGUUAGUCGGGUCCUAAGCUGAGGCCGACAGGCGUAGGCGAUGGAUAACAGGUUGAUAUUCCUGUACCACCUAUAAUCGUUUUAAUCGAUGGGGGGACGCAGUAGGAUAGGCGAAGCGUGCGAUUGGAUUGCACGUCUAAGCAGUAAGGCUGAGUAUUAGGCAAAUCCGGUACUCGUUAAGGCUGAGCUGUGAUGGGGAGAAGACAUUGUGUCUUCGAGUCGUUGAUUUCACACUGCCGAGAAAAGCCUCUAGAUAGAAAAUAGGUGCCCGUACCGCAAACCGACACAGGUAGUCAAGAUGAGAAUUCUAAGGUGAGCGAGCGAACUCUCGUUAAGGAACUCGGCAAAAUGACCCCGUAACUUCGGGAGAAGGGGUGCUCUUUAGGGUUAACGCCCAGAAGAGCCGCAGUGAAUAGGCCCAAGCGACUGUUUAUCAAAAACACAGGUCUCUGCUAAACCGUAAGGUGAUGUAUAGGGGCUGACGCCUGCCCGGUGCUGGAAGGUUAAGAGGAGUGGUUAGCUUCUGCGAAGCUACGAAUCGAAGCCCCAGUAAACGGCGGCCGUAACUAUAACGGUCCUAAGGUAGCGAAAUUCCUUGUCGGGUAAGUUCCGACCCGCACGAAAGGCGUAACGAUUUGGGCACUGUCUCAACGAGAGACUCGGUGAAAUCAUAGUACCUGUGAAGAUGCAGGUUACCCGCGACAGGACGGAAAGACCCCGUGGAGCUUUACUGUAGCCUGAUAUUGAAAUUCGGCACAGCUUGUACAGGAUAGGUAGGAGCCUUUGAAACGUGAGCGCUAGCUUACGUGGAGGCGCUGGUGGGAUACUACCCUAGCUGUGUUGGCUUUCUAACCCGCACCACUUAUCGUGGUGGGAGACAGUGUCAGGCGGGCAGUUUGACUGGGGCGGUCGCCUCCUAAAAGGUAACGGAGGCGCUCAAAGGUUCCCUCAGAAUGGUUGGAAAUCAUUCAUAGAGUGUAAAGGCAUAAGGGAGCUUGACUGCGAGACCUACAAGUCGAGCAGGGUCGAAAGACGGACUUAGUGAUCCGGUGGUUCCGCAUGGAAGGGCCAUCGCUCAACGGAUAAAAGCUACCCCGGGGAUAACAGGCUUAUCUCCCCCAAGAGUUCACAUCGACGGGGAGGUUUGGCACCUCGAUGUCGGCUCAUCGCAUCCUGGGGCUGUAGUCGGUCCCAAGGGUUGGGCUGUUCGCCCAUUAAAGCGGUACGCGAGCUGGGUUCAGAACGUCGUGAGACAGUUCGGUCCCUAUCCGUCGUGGGCGUAGGAAAUUUGAGAGGAGCUGUCCUUAGUACGAGAGGACCGGGAUGGACAUACCUCUGGUGUACCAGUUGUCGUGCCAACGGCAUAGCUGGGUAGCUAUGUGUGGACGGGAUAAGUGCUGAAAGCAUCUAAGCAUGAAGCCCCCCUCAAGAUGAGAUUUCCCAACUUCGGUUAUAAGAUCCCUCAAAGAUGAUGAGGUUAAUAGGUUCGAGGUGGAAGCAUGGUGACAUGUGGAGCUGACGAAUACUAAUCGAUCGAAGACUUAAUCAA